rnacentral:rRNA from 1 species
AGUGAACGCUGGCGGUAGGCCUAACACAUGCAAGUCGAACGGCAGCACAGUAAGAGCUUGCUCUUACGGGUGGCGAGUGGCGGACGGGUGAGGAAUACAUCGGAAUCUACUUUUUCGCGGGGGAUAACGUAGGGAAACUUACGCUAAUACCGCAUACGACCUACGGGUGAAAGCAGGGGAUCUUCGGACCUUGCGCGAUUGAAUGAGCCGAUGUCGGAUUAGCUAGUUGGCGGGGUAAAGGCCCACCAAGGCGACGAUCCGUAGCUGGUCUGAGAGGAUGAUCAGCCACACUGGAACUGAGACACGGUCCAGACUCCUACGGGAGGCAGCAGUGGGGAAUAUUGGACAAUGGGCGCAAGCCUGAUCCAGCCAUGCCGCGUGGGUGAAGAAGGCCUUCGGGUUGUAAAGCCCUUUUGUUGGGAAAGAAAAGCAGCAGGUUAAUACCCCGCUGUUAUGACGGUACCCAAAGAAUAAGCACCGGCUAACUUCGUG